UACGAAGGGUGCAAGCGUUGUCCGGAAUUAUUGGGCGUAAAGAGCUCGUAGGCGGUUUGUCGCGUCUGCUGUGAAAACCUAAGGCUCAACCUUGGGCUUGCAGUGGGUACGGGCAGACUAGAGUGCGGUAGGGGUGACUGGAAUUCCUGGUGUAGCGGUGGAAUGCGCAGAUAUCAGGAGGAACACCGAUGGCGAAGGCAGGUCACUGGGCCGCAACUGACGCUGAGGAGCGAAAGCAUGGGGAGCGAACAGG
rnacentral:rRNA from 1 species